ACAAUGGGCCGCGCUCGCUCCGCCCUCGCUCGCAGCGGGCCCGCUGAGCCGGGUGGCUCCCUCAGACGUGACUUCCGGAGGCCCUAUGCGUUUCGACUUGCCCGGGCUGGUCGCACACGUGAAAAAGGCAGGAGGGCCGCAGCCUCGGGGAGAAGACGCCUGGAUGCGCAUCUCUGCGAAAGGAGCCCCCGGAGCCCCGCGGCCCCAGGACGUGGCCGGCCCUGCCCACCGUUGCUUUCAGGGGCUUUGCCAAGAUGCUGCAGGAAUUUUGUUUGCACAAUGCCAGGACUUGCUGAGAUUCCAGAAUGGCUUCCCAGCAUGCCGAACACCCUCGGCUCCUCAUGCUGAACAAAGCUGCUUGCUCACGUUUUGCAGACUUCCAGGGAAAUAGAGGAAGGUCCGGAUGCUCGGGGAGCCCCGUGUGGUAGCAUAGUUUCAGGGGGCUGCAAAAACGGUGGUGAAAUCCCUAGGUUUUCUUGCAGCAUUGCAGCAUGUGGCUGACGGCUGCACAGCAGGCUAGGAGCUCCUGCCCUGUUGCAAAGGGACCGGGAGCACCCCCUCGCACAGAUAUUCUCGGUGCCUCGCUCGGCACGGCCCUCGUGCACCAGCACCACCCCACAGUGUAUGCAGGAGGAGGAGGUGGUGGUGGUCUAAUUCCUCCCCCAUGUCCAAAAGUUUCUCUGCACAUGGAAAGUUUUCGUGUCAUUAUAGGAGCCGCUGCCUUGAGAUGCUAGCUUUCUACCUGUAGGGAGAGGCAGAUGUGGGAUCCUGUUGAAGCAAGCUCUUCUCUCCCUUGUGCCCCAAAGUACUCCUGGCUCCAGGCACUCGCUCCAGAGCGUGUGCUUUCCAAAUGUGUGGGCUUUACUCUCAUCACCACCCCAACUGACAAUCUCCUUGCUGUUUAUAAGCGAUCAAUCAGGUACACUCCCAUUUUUUCCCUGAUCCCCUUAUGCUUCAGAAAGUCAUUUCUUAGCCCUGGAAAUGUAGCCUUUUCAAGAAGAAAAAUUUAAAGAAGAAUGGCAGGGAAUCGUAUUUGCCGCACCAUGUCAUGGAGAAGAAUUGAUUUUGUAAGUAUUUUUGUAACUUUGGAAGAGACGGGGGUCUUGCUAAUUGAGUACCACAAGUUAUUUUGAAAAGUAUUCCAAUGCAGUUGUUAAGCUAAACAAUGUAAAAAGCAAUAUAUUGAUAAAUAUUUCAAAUACACCAAGUAUGCAGGUC